AUACGUAGGGGGCGAGCGUUGUCCGGAAUGAUUGGGCGUAAAGGGCGCGUAGGCGGCCCGGUAAGUCUGGAGUGAAAGUCCUGUUUUUAAGAUGGGAAUUGCUUUGGAUACUGUCGGGCUUGAGUGCAGGAGAGGUAAGUGGAAUUCCCAGUGUAGCGGUGAAAUGCGUAGAGAUUGGGAGGAACACCAGUGGCGAAGGCGACUUACUGGACUGUAACUGACGUUGAGGCGCGAAAGUGUGGGGAGCAAACAGGAUUAGAUACCCUGGUAGUCCACACUGUAAACGAUGAAUGCUAGGUGUAGGGGGUAUCGACCCCUUCUGUGCCGCAGUCAACACAAUAAGCAUUCCGCCUGGGGAGUACGGCCGCAAGGUUGAAACUCAAAUGAAUUGACGGGG
rnacentral:rRNA from 1 species